AGAGCGAACGCUGGCGGCAGGCCUAACACAUGCAAGUCGAGCGCCCCGCAAGGGGAGCGGCAGACGGGAGAGUAACACGUGGGAACGUGCCCUUUGGUUCGGAACAACACAGGGAAACUUGUGCUAAUACCGGAUAAGUCCGUAAGGAGAAAGAUUUAUCGCCAAAGGAUCGGCCCGCGUCUGAUUAGCUAGUUGGUGAGGUAACGGCUCACCAAGGCGACGAUCAGUAGCUGGUCUGAGAGGAUGAUCAGCCUCACUGGGACUGAGACACGGCCCAGACUCCUACGGGAGGCAGCAGUGGGGAAUAUUGGACAAUGGGCGCAAGCCUGAUCCAGCCAUGCCGCGUGGAUGAUGAAGGCCCUAGGGUUGUAAAGUCCUUUCGACGGGGAAGAUAAUGACGGUACCCGUAGAAGAAGCCCGGCUAACUUCGUGCCAGCAGCCGC
rnacentral:rRNA from 1 species